UACGUAGGGUGCAAGCGUUGUCCGGAAUUAUUGGGCGUAAAGAGCUCGUAGGCGGUUUGUUGCGUCGGCUGUGAAAACCUGAGGCUCAACCUCAGGCCUGCAGUCGAUACGAGCAGACUAGAGUGUUGCAGGGGAGACUGGAAUUCCUGGUGUAGCGGUGAAAUGCGCAGAUAUCAGGAGGAACACCGGUGGCGAAGGCGGGUCUCUGGGCAUCAACUGACGCUGAGGAGCGAAAGCGUGGGGAGCGAACAGG
rnacentral:rRNA from 1 species